GUGGGGAAUUUUGCGCAAUGGGGGGAACCCUGACGCAGCAACGCCGCGUGAGUGACGACGCCCUUCGGGGUGUAAAGCUCUGUUGGUGGGGACGAAGACCUGGCUGUGAAGAGCGGUUGGGGAUGACGGUACCUGCUGAGGAAGCCCCGGCCAACUCCGUGCCAGCAGCCGCGGUAAGACGGAGGGGGCGAGCGUUGUUCGGAAUUACUGGGCGUAAAGCGCCCGUAGGCGGUUGAUUACGUGGGCAGUGAAAGCCCUGGGCUUAACUCAGGCCGGGCUGUUCAAACGGAUUGACUGGAGUGCCGGAGGGGGAGGCGGAAUGCCUGGUGGAGCGGUGAAAUGCGUAGAGAUCAGGCAGAACGUCGGUGGCGAAGGCGGCCUCCUGGACGGACACUGACGCUGAGGGGCGACAGCGUGGGGAGCGAACGGGAUUAGAUACCCCUGUAGUCC
rnacentral:rRNA from 1 species